rfam:Triticum aestivum genome assembly, contig: Triticum_aestivum_CS42_TGACv1_scaffold_433725_5DL
UAAAUACUCCCUCCGUUUCAAAAUUCUUGUCUUAAAUUUGUCUAGAUACGGAUGUAUCUAAUACUAAAAUGUGACUUGAUACAUCCGUAUUUAGGCAAAUCUAAGACAAGAGUUUUGAGACGGAGAGAAUAUGUU